rnacentral:rRNA from 1 species
AGGGUUCGAUUCUGGCUCAGGAUGAACGCUAGCGGCAGGCUUAACACAUGCAAGUCGAGGGGCAACGCGAGUAGCAAUACUUGGCGGCGACCGGCGCAAGGGUGCGUAACGCGUGAGCAACAUGCCCGUAUCAGGGGGAUAAUCCAGGGAAACUUGGUCUAAUACCCCAUAGUAAUUUUGUAAGGCAUCUUAUAAGAAUUUAAAGCUUUGGUGGAUACGGAUUGGCUCGCGUGACAUUAGCUGGAUGGUAAGGUAACGGCUUACCAUGGCUAUGAUGUCUAGGGGUUCUGAGAGGAAGGUCCCCCACACUGGAACUGAGACACGGUCCAGACUCCUACGGGAGGCAGCAGUGAGGAAUAUUGGACAAUGGAUGGAAAUCUGAUCCAGCCAUGCCGCGUGAAGGAAGAAGGUCCUAUGGAUUGUAAACUUCUUUUGUAUGGGAGCAAUAAGGCCUACGAGUAGGUUGAUGAGAGUACCAUACGAAUAAGCACCGGCUAACUCCGUGCCAGCCGCUGC